AUCACACCACUUCUCGUACAAUUACCGAAGUUAAGCAACGUUGGGUCUAGUCAGUACUUAGAUGGGUGACCGCCUGAAAAUACCAGGUGU